rnacentral:rRNA from 2 species
AGCAUUAUACCGCGAAACUGCGAAUGGCUCAUUAAAUCAGUUAUCGUUUAUUUGAUAGCACCUUACUACUUGGAUAACCGUGGUAAUUCUAGAGCUAAUACAUGCUGAAAAUCCCGACUUCGGAAGGGAUGUAUUUAUUAGAUUAAAAACCAAUGCCCUCCGGGGCUCACUGGUGAUUCAUGAUAACUUCUCGAAUCGCAUGGCCUUGCGCCGGCGAUGGUUCAUUCAAAUUUCUGCCCUAUCAACUUUCGACUGCUGGGUCUUGGCCAGCAAUGGUGACAACGGGUAACGGAGGGUUAGGGCUCGACCCCGGAGAAGGAGCCUGAGAAACGGCUACUACAUCCAAGGAAGGCAGCAGGCGCGCAAAUUACCCAAUCCCGACACGGGGAGGUAGUGACAAUAAAUACUGAUACAGGGCUCUUUUGGGUCUUGUAAUUGGAAUGAGUACAAUUUAAAUCCCUUAACGAGGAACAAUUGGAGGGCAAGUCUGGUGCCAGCAGCCGCGGUAAUUCCAGCUCCAAUAGCGUAUAUUAAAGUUGUUGCAGUUAAAAAGCUCGUAGUUGAACCUUGGGCCUGGCCGGCCGGUCCGCCUCACCGCGUGCACUGGUUCGGCCGGGCCUUUUCCUCUGGCGAGCCCCAUGCCCUUCACUGGGCGUGCGGGGGAACCAGGACUUUUACUUUGAAAAAAUUAGAGUGUUCAAAGCAGGCCUAUGCUCGAAUACAUUAGCAUGGAAUAAUAGAAUAGGACGUGCGGUUCUAUUUUGUUGGUUUCUAGGACCGCCGUAAUGAUUAAUAGGGACAGUCGGGGGCAUCAGUAUUCAAUUGUCAGAGGUGAAAUUCUUGGAUUUAUUGAAGACUAACUACUGCGAAAGCAUUUGCCAAGGAUGUUUUCAUUAAUCAGGAACGAAAGUUAGGGGAUCGAAGACGAUCAGAUACCGUCGUAGUCUUAACCAUAAACUAUGCCGACUAGGGAUCGGACGAUGUUAUUUUUUGACUCGUUCGGCACCUUACACGAAAGUACAAGUU